UCCUGGUUAGCUCAGUUGGUAGAGCGCUCCACUGGAAAUGGAGAGGCACUUGGUUUGAUACUAGGCCCAGGCG
rfam:Ixodes scapularis strain Wikel colony gcontig_1108379334082, whole genome shotgun sequence.